AGUGGGUCACACCCGUUCCCUUUCCGAACACGGCAGUUAAGCCACUGAUCGCCGAUGGUACUUGGUCUUCGGAUCUGGGAGAGUAGGUCGACGCCGGAU
rnacentral:rRNA from 1 species